UCGGGUGUUUUGGAUGAGCUAAACUUAAAGUAGACUUUUGCACUCAUCAUCAAAAUCGAAGUACAGUGCAGGUGCUCAACUUUUCUUUUUUUCCUUUCCCAUUUCUAUCACCAUUUCUCUGCAAUUCACCAUCUUCAUUUGCAAUUUUUCUUAAUUAAAAAAAAAAUCAUUUUCAAUUCUCUUCAAAGGCUCAUCUUACAAACAUACUCUCUAUUAUCUUCACUAUGCUCAAGUAGCCCAUUUUCCCGUCAAAACAAAACGAAUUUCACAAAUGCAAAGAUAUAAUUCGAGUUAUAAUUAAAGAGUUAUGAAAUUUUGAAGGAAUAAUUGAAGCAAGUAAUCUACGAUAGUUUUAACAUUGAAGAGUUUGAACAACAAUGGACAUAUGUAAUUAAGACUCACGAUGUUGAGUCUGAUAAGUGGCUCGAGGAAUUAUUUAAGGAGAUUACAAUGUGGGCUCCGGUUCAUAUGCAUGAUACAUUCAUAAUGCUUUCUUUGAUGGUUUCCUCAAUAGAAAAACCAAGCUAUGUGAAUAUGUUGCGCGUUAUUUUUCAACAAUAGGCAAAAGGGUGGAGGAUGAAAAGGCUGUUGAUGCCUUGAGUGCGAUGAGACAUAGACAUGUUGCUAACAAAUAUUUUCGAAAGAUAUACACGAAUUUCAAGUUUCGAGAAGUCUAAAUUCAAUGUGAGAGGGUUAUUUACUGCAACUUACGAGAGGAAAAUAUGAUUUCUGCAAUUGAGGUCAGACAUGUGAUAGAGGAUCGAGUUUGGGUUGUACCAAAAGGGACCUCCAAAGAAGUUGUCACCAAACAUAAAUGGUCCUAUGGUAUAACCUUUAACCACCAAAGUCUUGUGAUGGACUGUGAUUGCAAAUUUUUUAUAACACAUGGCAUUUUGUGUAGACACAUGAUUCGAUUAUUAGAUAUUGGUAUGAUAUUUCUAUAAUUCCAAAUAUGUAUGUUCUUAAGCGAUGGAGGCGAGAUAUUCUUAGGAAGCACACAUUGGUUAAGGUUCCAUACCAUGAUCCUUUUAACACAGUGGAGGGCAUGCGAUAUCAUAAAAUGCAGUUGACGUUUGGGCCAAUCUGUUAUGAAGCAGAUGAAGGUGACGAUACAGUUCAGCUAGUCAUUGAUGCCUUGAAAGAGCCACAUUUGAAAUUAAUUGAGAUCAAAGGUAAAAGAGAUUGUACUUUGGAUGAAGACAAUAUCCCAUCUUCAAUUGCUAGCUUUAAUACCCCAAUGGCCAUUGUGCAAUCAUCAGUUGCUAGUACAAGCCACCUAAAGGAUCCAUCAAAUAAAAAGAAAAGAGGUAGGCCAUGACCAAUCGACUACAAGGUGCUCACGAGAAGAGUGCUAAGAACGCUAAAGGCAAGAACGUCGGUGGAUGCCAAGUGCAACAAUCGAUGGAAAAUUUGGAUUUCCAAUCAUUUGUAUUUAAUGUCAAAUGUCAUAUGUAAAACCUAUGUAUUGCACAUCAUUCUCAUCUAAAAAAUCAUAUGGAUAUGGAAA